AUAGUGGCUGGAUCUGAAGCGAGUAAGAAGAAGAGCUUUGGUUCUUCUCUCACAGUUCGUCACUCUCAGAAAUUGAUUCCCAAUGCUGCUGCUGUUGUGACGAAGGAGGCGGAGACAUCUGCGAGCACUGGACAUGAACUAUUGCUUUUCGAGGCUCUCCAGGAAGGUUUGGAAGAGGAGAUGGACAGAGAUGCAAAUGUAUGUGU